rnacentral:rRNA from 1 species
UGGGGAAUAUUGGACAAUGGGCGCAAGCCUGAUCCAGCCAUGCCGCGUGAGUGAUGAAGGCCUUAGGGUUGUAAAGCUCUUUUAGCGGGGAAGAUAAUGACGGUACCCGCAGAAAAAGCCCCGGCUAACUUCGUGCCAGCAGCCGCGGUAAUACGAAGGGGGCUAGCGUUGCUCGGAAUUACUGGGCGUAAAGCGCACGUAGGCGGACUCUUAAGUCGGUGGUGAAAUCCUGGAGCUCAACUCCAGAACUGCCUUCGAUACUGGGAGUCUUGAGUUCGGGAGAGGUGAGUGGAACUGCGAGUGUAGAGGUGAAAUUCGUAGAUAUUCGCAAGAACACCAGUGGCGAAGGCGGCUCACUGGCCCGAUACUGACGCUGAGGUGCGAAAGCGUGGGGA